AUAUUUACCUGGCAGGGGAGACAUCUUGGUCACGAAAGAGGUUCACCCAGGACGAAGCUCGGCCAUUGCACUCCGGCCGUGCUGACCCCAUGCGAAUUCCCCAAAUGUGGGAAUCUUGACUCCAUAAGUUGUGGUAGUGGGGAACUGUGUCGUGGUCUCCAC